AGUGAACGCUGGCGGCGUGCUUAACACAUGCAAGUUGAACGAGAACGGAUUAUAGCUUGCUAUAAUUGUCAGCUAAGUGGCGCACGGGUGAGUAAUGUAUAGGUAAUAUACCUCUUACUAAGGGAUAACAAAUGGAAACGUUUGCUAAUACCUUAUACUCCUUAUUAACAGAAGUUAAUAAGGGAAAGAUUUAUUGGUAAGAGAUUAGCCUGUAUUGUAUCAGUUAGUUGGUGGGGUAAUGGCUUACCAAGACUAUGACACAUAACUGGUUUGAGAGGAUGAUCAGUCACACUGGAACUGAGACACGGUCCAGACUCCUACGGGAGGCAGCAGUGGGGAAUAUUGCACGAUGGACGAAAGACUGAUGCAGCAACGCCGCGGGGAGGAUGACACAUUUCGGUGCGUAAACUCCUUUUAUAUGAGAAGAUAAUGACGGUAUUAUAUGAAUAAGCACCGGCUAACUCCGUGCCAGCCGCCGCCGUAA
rnacentral:rRNA from 1 species